UACAGAGGUCCCAAGCGUUGUUCGGAUUCACUGGGCGUAAAGGGUGCGUAGGUGGUGAGGUAAGUCGGAUGUGAAAGCUCGGAGCUCAACUCCGAAAUGGCAUUGGAAACCACCUUGCUCGAGGGUUGGAGGGGGGACUGGAAUACUUGGUGUAGCAGUGAAAUGCGUAGAUAUCAAGUGGAACACCAGUGGCGAAGGCGAGUCCCUGGACAACUCCUGACACUGAGGCACGAAAGCUAGGGGAGCAAACAGG
rnacentral:rRNA from 1 species